CAUAACGUACGGGCGCAAACAAUUUGCCAAAUUUAUCUGAAACACAGAUUCGUUUCUGUCGCGCGUCAUGUUGUAUUUGAAGCGAGAUUUGUGAUCGUACAGUAGCAUAUUCGUUUCCUCGGUUCAGAGAAAUGUGAGGUUAAGAUAAAAAUUGGGGAAAUUGCACUACGUCGUCGCAUCCUGUUACUGAAACGUUUUUUCGAUCGAUCGAAUCGGAGGAUGACAUGUUCUACUUCAAUACAAAUGUAUGCGUUCAACAUACUUUGAAACAAAAUAAUAACACUGUUACGUUGUCAUCCUCGAUUUUAUAUGUAAUUUCUCUCAAUGUGUACUUAUGUACUAACAUUUUUCAAUAUGUUACAUUUUUGCAAUACAAAAAUUUAUGUAGCUUGUAGUGUAUGGGGAUACAAGAUAAUAAUAAAAAUUAUAAAAAUA